AAUUCUCAAAACCCCUUUCUUUGGUCUUUGACCGGUGAAGGGAUUUUGGACUUGGAGGCUUUUUGCUGGCUUCAUCUUGAAGUGAGCUCCUCUUAAAUAAAUCAGUGGGGUUCGCUUUGCCGAUCCUUGACGUGAUAAGAUGUUUCUACGUCUUGGGUUCAGCAGAGUCACCUGCUUCUAACUGUCUUAUUGACAAAUGAUGGUGUUCCGGUCACCGCCGUUUCGUCGGCGGGAGGCUUGACCCACGAACGAA
rnacentral:misc_RNA from 1 species